rnacentral:rRNA from 1 species
UACGAAGGGGACUAGCGUUGUUCGGAAUCACUGGGCGUAAAGCGCACGUAGGCGGAUUCGUAAGUCAGGGGUGAAAUCCCCGAGCUCAACUCGGGAACUGCGUCCGAUACUGGCGGGCUUGAAUCCGGGAGAGGGAUGCGGAAUUCCAGGUGUAGCGGUGAAAUGCGUAGAUAUCUGGAGGAACACCGGUGGCGAAGGCGGCAUCCUGGACCGGCAUUGACGCUGAGGCGCGAAAGCUAGGGGAGCAAACGGG